UACGUAGGGUCCGAGCGUUGUCCGGAAUUACUGGGCGUAAAGGGCUCGUAGGCGGCCAACUAAGUCAGACGUGAAAUCCCUCAGCUUAACUGGGGAACUGCGUCUGAUACUGGAUGGCUUGGAUUCGGGAGAGGAAUGCGGAAUUCCAGGUGUAGCGGUGAAAUGCGUAGAUAUCUGGAGGAACACCGGUGGCGAAGGCGGCAUUCUGGACCGAUAUUGACGCUGAGGAGCGAAAGCCAGGGGAGCAAACGGG
rnacentral:rRNA from 1 species